rnacentral:rRNA from 1 species
AACGAACGCUGGCGGCAUGCCUAACACAUGCAAGUCGAACGAGACCUUCGGGUCUAGUCGCGCACGGGUGCGUAACGCGUGGGAACCUGCCCUUAGGUUCGGAAUAACUCCCCGAAAGGGGUGCUAAUACCGGAUAAUGUCUUCGGACCAAAGAUUUAUCGCCUUUGGAUGGGCCCGCGUUGGAUUAGCUAGUUGGUAGGGUAAAAGCCUACCAAGGCGACGAUCCAUAGCUGGUCUGAGAGGAUGAUCAGCCACACUGGGACUGAGACACGGCCCAGACUCCGACGGGAGGAAGCAGGGGGGAAUAGUGGACAAUGGGCGAAAGCCUGAGCCAGCAAUGCCGCGUGAGUGAUGAAGGCCUUAGGGUUGUAAAGCUCUUUUACCCGGGAUGAUAAUGACAGGACCGGGAGAAUAAGCUCCGGCUAACUCCGU